GAUACGGCCCAGACUCCUACGGGAGGCAGCAGUGGGGAAUAUUGCACAAUGGGCGGAAGCCUGAUGCAGCAACGCCGCGUGCGGGAUGACGGCCUUCGGGUUGUAAACCGCUUUCGCCUGUGACGAAGCGUGAGUGACGGUAAUGGGUAAAGAAGCACCGGCUAACUACGUGCCAGCAGCCGCGGUGAUACGUAGGGUGCGAGCGUUGUCCGGAUUUAUUGGGCGUAAAGGGCUCGUAGGUGGUUGAUCGCGUCGGAAGUGUAAUCUUGGGGCUUAACCCUGAGCGUGCUUUCGAUACGGGUUGACUUGAGGAAGGUAGGGGAGAAUGGAAUUCCUGGUGGAGCGGUGGAAUGCGCAGAUAUCAGGAGGAACACCAGUGGCGAAGGCGGUUCUCUGGGCCUUUCCUGACGCUGAGGAGCGAAAGCGUGGGGAGCGAACAGGCUUAGAUACCCUGGUAGUCCACGCUGUAAACGGUGGGUACUAGGUGUGGGGUCCAUUCCACGGGUUCCGUGCCGUAGCUAACGCUUUAAGUACCCCGCCUGGGGAGUACGGCCGCAAGGCUAAAACUCAAAGGAAUUGACGGGGCCCCGCACAAGCGGCGGAGCAUGCGGAUUAAUUCGAUGCAACGCGUAGAACCUUACCUGGGUUUGACAUGGAUCGGGAGUGCUCAGAGAUGGGUGUGCCUCUUUUGGGGUCGGUUCACAGGUGGUGCAUGGCUGUCGUCAGCUCGUGUCGUGAGAUGUUGGGUUAAGUCCCGCAAC
rnacentral:rRNA from 1 species